rnacentral:tRNA from 1 species
GGUGGCUCAGUGGUAGAGUGCUUGCCUUGCAUGCAUGAAGCCUUUGGUUUGAUUCCUUAGUACCA